AAACAAACGACUCUCGGCAACGGAUAUCUCGGCUCUCGCAUCGAUGAAGAACGUAGCGAAAUGCGAUACUUGGUGUGAAUUGCAGGAUCCCGUGAAUCAUCGAGUCUUUGAACGCAAGUUGCGCCCGAAGCCAUUAGGCCGAGGGCACGCCUGCCUGGGCGUCACGCAUCGCGUC
rnacentral:rRNA from 1 species